GCGUUGGGGAGAAGACACGUGGAGGCUUGUAGCAGGAGAGAAAAGAGACAGAGGCUGGUCAGAACAAAGCACCAUCGCCUACUGGAACGUUCGAAAGAAAUCAACCGGAAUUCAAGCCCAAAGCAAGAAAUCAAACAAGAACUCAUGCUCUCGAGAACGUAUCAAACAAGAACUCAAUGAAUUGCCAGAUCAAGAUUAAAAAAAAAAAUGAAAAAAAAUGGUUAGAAAGCAAAGAGAAAAGGGAUCGAGGAAGGUACCUCACCGGCAACGCAGCCGUCGCAAGGUCGCGUACCCGACGGAGCACGUCAGGGCAUCUCGCAUGGUGGCGAGCUGGGGAUCGAUUCUUCACAGAGAUUCCCUGAUCCUGUUCCUGAUUCCACCAUGACGGUCGAGCGCCUCUCCCCUCACAACCCGAACCUCCGGAAUCCCGGUGGCUGCUUCUCCGGAAUCGAGAUCGUUGCCUCUAAUCGACGCAUUAGAUGGAGUGGAAACUGCUAUGGAAUGAUGACCGGCUGCCUUGUACUGUCCUCAUAGAGAGGCGGCAGUUGGAUUGGUUGGCUGGCGGGGAAAAGAUGGAAAGAGGAGGGAGGAAAGAAAAGGAAAGGAGAAGAGAAGGAUGUUCCUUAAGAACACGGCGUAAGCUCUCGAAUGAGACUUCUGAUUUUGGUGUCCUCUGCUGUAUUCUUGCAGAUUAAUGUUGCAGAAAUGGGAAUAGAAAUUAAAGGAAAAAAAGGGGAAACAGAAAGAGACUGCACUUGUCAUAAUUGGAUGGCUUAAUAGAGACAAAGCAAGAGACUCUCGGCUCUACUCACAAGCAUGUGAUAUUUGUCUCCAUCAGCCAUUAGGUCCUUGACCAUAUCCCAUGAAGAUUUUGAAUUGCUCAUGCUUGCUUUGCGCUGCCACACAUAGAUUGCAGCUUCCACACUGUCGGUGAUCUCAAGUGCUUCAUGCUCUGAAGUUAUAUCAAGACCAUCUAGAAGAUAGUCAGGGGAGAACUUGUUUGCAGUGGACAUGUGGUGAUAGAUGGAAUCUCCUACGCUUGCACGCCCACUCUGAAGCAUCAAAAACAAUUUUUCGCAGGGAGAAUAAAAUUAGCUAGUUUGAUUACAAUGAAUUGCCCUUACUUCCAUUCCCAACCAUGUUCACCUUUUAUCUUCAGAUAAGAAUAGCAGUAGAGCAGAUUUACUUCGUCCCUGUUGGCUUUUGAGAAAGUCAAGCAGGCUGUGGAUCUUCUUGCUACAAAGGUAUGAAUUAUGCAAGGUGUGGAUCAUUUUGCUAGAAGGGCUGUUUGGGCAUUGUUUUGUGGGUGAUGAAGGGUUGCUGAUCCACCGAACAUCUAUUUCAUGUUAGUUUUGGAUUUUAUACCUUUGGGAGUGCUGCAAGCUCCUUCCGUAAUCUCUCGGGGAGGCCAGAAACAGGAACACAUGGGAUAGGUAGCCACCAUUUUUCAUCGUUCCGAUGAAUCACCUGUCGGAAUGACCUUGAGGUACAGGCAAUUGAUGAUUGCUUGCCAUCAUCAAUGUACCAGAAUUCUGUGUUCUGGAAGCUGUCCAAUAUUUCCUGCAGAAAUUCAGGCAUUGGAUGAGAUAACUUUAUACAUGCUUCUUAACUUUUUUGAGAAAUAUUUGACUGUACUGAAUCUUUCUGAUACAAAAAGGCCUCCAAUAAUAUAUAUCAUAUCAAAGUGACUGUUCAA